ACGGGUGAGUAACACGUGAGCAACCUGCCCCUGACUCUGGGAUAAGCGCUGGAAACGGCGUCUAAUACUGGAUAUGUGACGUGACCGCAUGGUCUGCGUCUGGAAAGAAUUUCGGUUGGGGAUGGGCUCGCGGCCUAUCAGCUUGUUGGUGAGGUAAUGGCUCACCAAGGCGUCGACGGGUAGCCGGCCUGAGAGGGUGACCGGCCACACUGGGACUGAGACACGGCCCAGACUCCUACGGGAGGCAGCAGUGGGGAAUAUUGCACAAUGGGCGGAAGCCUGAUGCAGCAACGCCGCGUGAGGGAUGACGGCCUUCGGGUUGUAAACCUCUUUUAGCAGGGAAGAAGCGAAAGUGACGGUACCUGCAGAAAAAGCGCCGGCUAACUACGUGCCAGCAGCCGCGGUAAUACGUAGGGCGCAAGCGUUAUCCGGAAUUAUUGGGCGUAAAGAGCUCGUAGGCGGUUUGUCGCGUCUGCUGUGAAAUCCGGAGGCUCAACCUCCGGCCUGCAGUGGGUACGGGCAGACUAGAGUGCGGUAGGGGAGAUUGGAAUUCCUGGUGUAGCGGUGGAAUGCGCAGA
rnacentral:rRNA from 13 species